GCGGAAGUGGCUCAGUGGUAGAGCAUCUCGUUGCCAACGAGAGGGUCACGGGUUCGAAUCCCGUCUUCCGCUCCA
rnacentral:tRNA from 1 species